rnacentral:rRNA from 1 species
UACAGAGGUCUCAAGCGUUGUUCGGAUUCAUUGGGCGUAAAGGGUGCGUAGGUGGCGCGCUAAGUCAGGUGUGAAAUUUCGGAGCUUAACUCCGAAACUGCAUUUGAUACUGGCGUGCUUGAGGACUGGAGAGGAGACUGGAAUUCACGGUGUAGCAGUGAAAUGCGUAGAGAUCGUGAGGAAGACCAGUGGCGAAGGCGGCUUACUGGUCCAUUACUGACGCUGAGGUGCGAAAGCGUGGGGAGCAAACAGG